rnacentral:snRNA from 1 species
GCAUGUGAGGGCGAUCUGGCUGCGACAUCUGUCACCCCAUUGAUCGCCAGGGUUGAUUCGGCUGAUCUGGCUGGCUAGGAGGGUGUCCCCUUCCUCCCUCACCGCUCCAUGUGCGUCCCUCCCAAAGCCAUAUGCAUUGUAGAAGAGGAUGAUUUUCCCGAGGAGAGGACCGUUCUUCCGUCAAGGGUAUACGAGUAGCUGUGCUCCCCUGCUAGAACCUUCAAACAAGCUCUCAAGGUCAUAUUUUUCAAGUGUGAAGAAUUUACAUGACCAUAUAAACAUUUUAGUCCAUUUCUAUUUGUUUCUA